CAGCUUUCUUGUUAAAUGAGGUAACUAUUUUUAUUGUUUAAACAGCUUAGCAAUUUGACAGUCUGUUACUUGUACCUGAAAGCAUCUUUAUUUUAUUAUCAUUAUUUUUUGAGAGAGAGUCUCACUCUAUCACCCAGGCUGGAGUGCAGUGGCAAGAUGGCUCACUGCAACCUCCAUCUCCUGGGUUUCAAACGAUUCUGGAGCCUCAGCCGCCAACGUAGCUGGAAUUACAGGUAUGUGCCACCACACCCAGCUAAUUUUUGUAAUUUUAGUAGAGAUGGGGUUUUGCCAUGUUGGCCAGGCUAGUCUCAAACUCCCGGCCUCAAGUGAUUCAUCUACCUUGGCCUCCCAAAGUGCUGGAAUUACAGAUGUGAGUCACUGCGCCAGCCUUUUAAAUUUUUUUUCUUUCUAGAGACAGGGUCUUGCUCUGUGGCCCAGGCAUGACCAUAGCUCACUUCAGCCUCAAACUCCUGGGCUCAAGUGAUCCUCCUGCCUCAGUCUCCCAAGUAGCUAGGACUAUCUAUGCACACCACCACAGCUGACUAAUUUUUAUUUUUUUAUUUCUGUGGAGAUGGGGGUCUUGCUAUGUUGCUCAGGCUGGUCUGAAACUCCUGGCCUGAAGCAAUCCUGCCUCUACCUCCCAAAAUGUUGGGAUUACAGGCGUGGAGCCACCAUGCCCAGCCAUGAAAGCAUUUUUGACUGAUACCCUGCCACACUGGAACUGGAAAAAACACCUCCUCCCAAAGAAGUUUAAAACUGUUGGCCAUGAAAAGAGCUGAGGCCCUAUAGAAGAGUGGAAGAGUAUGAGUUUGUGUUCCAGUCUUACCCUCCAGAACUUAAUAGCCACCUGCCUUUGAACAAGAGCUUAACUUCUCUGAGCCUCCAUUUACUCAUCUGACCACUGCCAGGCACAUUGACCUACAUGUAUAAUAGGGAUAAUUUUUUUUUUUUUUUUUUUUUUUUUUGAGAAAGAGUCUUGUUCUGUCGCCUGGGCUGGAGUGCAGACGCGUGAUCUCGGCUCACUGCAACCUCUGACUCCUGGAUUCAAGCAAUUCUCGUGUCUCAGCCUCCCAAGUAGCUGGGAUUACAGGUGUGCACCACUAUGCCUGGAUGAUUUUUGUAUUUUUAGUAGAGACAGGGUUUCACCACGUUAGCCAGGCUGGUCUCGAACUGCUGACCUCAGGGGAUCCACCCACCUCAUCAUCCCAAAGUGCUGGGAUUACAGGUGUGAGCCACUACAUCUGGCCUAUAAAUCUGUUUUUAGAAGGAGGGUUUGGGGAAUAUUUUUUAAAAUAAAAGCUUCUAGCAAGCCUCCUACACCAUCCCAAUCAAUCUCUAUGCUUUUUUUUUUGUUUUUUUUUUUAAAACAAAAAAAAAGGAGGCCAGGUGCAGUGGCUCACACCUGUAAUCCCAGCGUUUUGGGAGGCUGAAGUGGACAGAUCACUUGACCCCAGGAGUUUGAGACCAGUCUGGGCAAAAUGGUGCUACCCUGUCUCUACAACAAAAAUACAAAAAUUAGCUGGGUGUGGUGGUGCACACCUGUGGUCCCAGCUACUGGGGAGGCUAAGGUGGGUGGAUCACCUGAGCCUGGGGAGGUCAAGGCUCCAGUAAGCUGUGAUCACGUCACUGCACUUCAGCCUGGAUGACAGAGUGAGAUUCUGUUUAAGAAAAAAAAAAAAAAAGUCAGGGGGAAAGAAAAAUAAAGAAAACCAGAGGCCAGGGAUGGUGGCUCAUGCCUGUAAUCCCAGCAUUUUGGAAGGCUGAGGCGGGCAGAUGAUGAGUUCAGGAGAUUGAGACCAUCCUGGCCAACAUGGUGAAACCCCAUCUCUACUAAAAAUACAAAAAAAGAGCCAAGCAUGGUGGCAGGCGCCUGUAGUCCCAACUACUCGGGAGGCUGAGGCAGGAGAAUCGCUUGAACCUGGGAGGCAGAGGUUGCAGUGAGCCCAGAUCAUGCCACUGCACUCCAGCCUGGGUGACAGAGCGAGACUCCGUCUCAAAAAAAAAAAAGAAAAUCAGAAGCCCUGCUGUCUGUCUGUACCCGAGCCCUUCCACCAGGAAAGCAAGUCUAGGUGUGAGAUCUCACACUGUCUUUGUAGCCAUCUAAAAACAAUAAUAAUAACAAACUGGACAGUAUACAAUAAUAAAUAAAUAAAUAAAAAUGGGCAGAGGACUUGAAUAUCCAAAGAAGAUAAACAGUCCAGGCACAAUGGCUCUUGCCUGUAAUUUUAGUACUUUGGGAGGCCAAGGCAGGUGGAUCACUUGAGGUCAUGUGUUCAAGACCAGCCUGGCCAACAUGGUGAGACCCCAUCUCUACUAAAAAUAUAAAAAUUAGCCGGGCGUGGUGGCAUGCACCUGUAGUCCCAGCUACUCGGGAGGCUGAGGCAGGAGAAUCACUUGAACCCAGGAGGUGAAGGUUGCAGUGAGCCAAGAUCACGUCAUUGCACUCCAGCCUGAGCGACAGAGCAAGACUCUGUCUCAAAAAACAAACAAACAAACAGGAAAACAAAAACAAAGAAGAUAAACAAAUGGCCAACAAGCACAUGAAAAGAUGCUCAAUAUACUUAGUCAUUAAGGAAAUGCAAAUCAAAACCACAAUGAGAUAUCACUUCCCAUCCACUAGGAUGACUAUAAUCCAAAAACCAGAAAAUAACCAGUACUGGUGAGAUGUGGAGAAAUUGAAACCCUUGCAUAUUACUGGAUGGAAUGAUAAAUGGGAGUUACUAUGGAAAACAGUAACUGUUUUGGGCCUGGUGCAAUGGCUCAUGCCAGUAAUCCUAGCACUUUGGGAGGCCGAGGUAGAAGGAUCACUUGAGGUCAGACUGGGCAACAUGAUGAAACCCUGUCUGUACCAAAAAAAAAAGUAUAUAUAUACUUAUAUAUAUAAUAUAAUAUAUAUAUAUAUAUAAAAGCUGAGUGUGGUGGCAUGUGCCUGUAGUCCCAGCUACUCAGGAGGCUGAGGUGGGAGAAUUACUUGAGCCCAGGGGGUUAAGUCUGCAGUGAGCCAUGAUCAUAUCACUGCAUUCUAGCCUGAGCAACAGAGAGAGAGCCUGUCUCAAAAAAUAAAUUAAUUAAAUUAAAAAAUAAAAGAAUGGGCCGGGUGUGGUGGCUCACACCUGCAAUCCUGGCACUCUGGGAGGCCGAGGUGGGUGGAUCACCUGAGGUCAGGAGUUCGAGACCAGCCUGGCCAACAUGGUGAAACCCCGUCUCUACUAAAAAUACAAAACAUUAGCCGGGCGUUGUGGCAGGUGCCUGUAAUCCCAGCUACUUGAGAAGUUGAGGCAGGAGAAUCACUUGAACCCGGGAGGCAGAGGUUGCAGUGAGCUGAAAUCACACUAUUGCACUCCAGCCUGGGCAAGAAGAGUGAAACCCCGUCUCAAAAAAAAAAAAAAAAAAGAAAGAAAAAAGGAAUGAUACAGGCUACAAUGUGGAUGAACUCUGAAAACAUGCUCAGUGAAAGAAGCCAGACACAAAAUGUCACGUAUUAAAUGAUUGCGUUUAUAUGUAAUAUCCAGAAUAGGUAAAUCUAUAUAGAGAGAAUGCAGAUUAGUGGUUGUUAGGGACUCAGGAGAGUGGGGAGUGACUGCUCAAUGGAUAUGGGGUCUAUUUUGGGGGUGAUGAAAACGUUUUGAAACUGGAUAGAUAUUACGGUUGCAUAACAUUGUGAAUGAACAAAAUGCCACUGAAUAGCGCAUUUUUUAAGUUUAUUUUGAAACAAGGUCUCUGGCGGGAGGUGGAGAAUGCUAAGAUUUUUUCGAUAUCAUUUUGUGUUAGAGUACAAAUUGCACUCUGCCAUCCAGCCAGAAGUGCAGUGGCGCAAUCUCAGCCCACUGCAACCUCCACUCCCCCGGUUCAAGUGCUCCUCCUGCUUCAGCCUCCUGAGUAGCUGGGACUACAGGUGUGUGCCACCACGCCUGGCUAAUUUUUGUAUUUUUAGUAGAGAUGGGAUCUCACCAUUUUGGCCAGGCUGGUUUCGAACUCCUGGCCUCAAACGAUCCACCCACCUCGGCCUCCCAAAGUGCUGGGAUUACAGACAUGGGCCACUGUGCCUUGUCUGAACAGUACAUUUUGAAAUGGCUAAUUUUAUGUUUGUGAAAUUUGUCUCAAUAAAAAUAGAAACAUACAUAAUGAGAGGUCAUUCAUGUACAUCCAGUCAUAUUGCUUUUUUAUCUGAUUUAGUGUUGUCUUCAUGUCAUCACCCUCUCCCUAGGAACUUGGUACAAGAUCCUGGGCCUGGAGCUAGGGUAGAAGGCGAUUUGACAGCAUCGCCCAGGGCUGCCUCCAGUUCCCCCCGCCCCUCCGAUCCCCCAGCAAGUGAGGAAAACUGCUCCUCCAGGAGAGCUCUUCCACCUGGUACCUGCCGAGGAGAAUUACUGUGUUCAUUAAUCAGGGCUCUUUGUGGCAAGGAACAGAAGUACCUACUGGCUGAUUAAGCAGAAAAGGAUGUUAGCUCACAGAAUUUUGUUUUUUUUUGAAACAGGAUCUCACUCUGUCUUCCAGGCUGGAGUGCAAUGGUGCGAGCAGGGCCAAGUAAUUCUCCCACCUCAGCCUCCCCAGAAGCUGGGACUAGAGGCGUGCACCACAUACCUGGCUAAUUUUUUUUAUUUUCAGUAGAGAUGGGAUCUUGCCGUGUUGUCCAGCCUGGUCUCAACCUCCCGGGCUCAAGUGAUCCUCCUGCCUUGGCCUCCCAAUGCGCUGAGAUUACAGGGUGAACCAUUGUGCCCAGCUCACAGAAUUUUUGAGGGGCUGGAGGACCUGGCUGUAGGCGAAGCUCCCAGGAUCAAUGCCCCCCAGAUAGCCACAGAAACAGCUGUUAAGCAAAAUGCUACCACUGCUGCUGCUCCUGUGGGACAUUUCUGCACCCAGGAUUUCACCCUAAAGCUGAGCAUCCUGCCGCCACUCCACCACACAGAGCCUCCUUCUUGAGUUCACACUUCCUUUUCCUCGUUUCAGUGGGACUUGCCUGCUUGAUGGGUCCGGAUCACAUGCCAGUGCCUGAGCUGCAAGGAAGCCUGGGAAGCCAACAUUUCUGGAUUUCACCAUGGGGAGAUGGGGCUCGUAGGGCUGGACAUUUCUCAAAUAUAGGAAGGGGUUGAAAAUAUGGUGGGUGAUAUGGUUCGGCUGUGUCCCCACCCAAAUCUCAUCUUGAAUUCUCACGUAUUGAGAGAGGGACCUGGUGGGAGGUAAUUGAAUCAUGAGGGCAAGUCUUUCCCAUGCUGUUCUCGUGAUCGUGAAUAAGUCUCAUGAGAUCUGCCAGUUUUAUAAAGAGGAGUUCCCCUGCACAAGCUCUCUCUCUCUUUGCCUGCUGCUAUCCACGUAAAAUGUGACUUGCGCCUCCUUGCCUUCUGCCAUGAUUGUGAGGCCUCCUCAGCCCUGUGGAACUGUAAGUCCAUCAAACCUCUUUGUUUUUUUGGUAAAUUGCCCAGUCUCAGGUAUGUCUUAUUUAUUUAUGUAUGUAUUUGUUUGUUUAUUUUUGAGACACAGUCUCAUUCUGUCACCAGGCUGGAGUGCAGUGGCAUGAUCUUGGCUCGCUUCAACCUCUACCUCCCAGGUUCAAACAAUUCUCCUGCCUCAGCCUCCUGAGUAGCUGGGAUUACAGGCACGUGCCACCACAGCUGGCUAAUUUUUGCAUUUUCAGUAGAGACCAGGGUUUCACCAUGUUGGCCAGGCUGGUCUUGAACUCCUGAUCUCAAGUGAUCCACCCACCUCAGGCUCCCAAUCAGGUAUGUCUUUAUCAGCAGUGUGAAAACAGACUAGUACAGUGGGUGUACAGAAAAUACAUGAUAGAGAGACAGCAUUUAUUAUUCCUCACUUGUUGGAAGGACCCUACGCAACCCUAGCUCAUUUGACAAUGUCCCUCUCAUUAUAUACCCUGGGCCUUUUGCAUAUAGAGACAGCCCUGGUUUUUGACUGUCCAGAACCUUUAUAUCUGCUUCUCCCCAAAACAGAGAGGCCUCAUACAUCUGUCAGUAAUAAAGCCCACCCUCUCGUAUUUACGAGGUAGAUAAGUAAUUGAGACUGAAAUGCCACUGUAUUCCAUUUCCCUGACCACAGUGAUUGAUUCAGAGGGAAGCCUAUGACAAAAACAGUGCCAGUCAGAAUGUUCCCUGGCAUUGAUAUAAUGACGCUGGGGAAAGAGCAACUCUCUUUUGCCCUGGGGUUGUUAAACUGGGAGGAAGAAACUAUUUGCAGUGGGAGAAAAUUAGGUCAGCCUAGAGUGAAGCAGAGAUGAGAGAUGGUGAGACAGCCAGGAAAAUAUGGUUUCAUCUUUUGGAUCAAGCUAAGCCUGAAGUCAUUACAUCUCUCGUUUUUAAUUACACGAGCCAAUAAGUUCCUUUCUAAAGCUUCAGUGAGUUGGAGUUGGAUUUCUCUCACAACCGAGUAUUCGUGAUCAACCACCCUCUCCCUAAUGGGAAAUUUACUAUGAGGCACUUUUCUUUCCACUGUCUCAUUUGAUAGUAGAUUUGAAAGUUAGGAGGGAGAGGCUAGGCGCGGUGGCUCAUGCCUGUAAUCCCAGCAUUUGGGGAGGCUGAGGCAGGCAGAUCAUGAAGUCAGGAGUUAGAGAUCAGCCUGGCCAACGUAGUGAAACCCCAUCUCUACUAAAAGUACAAAAAAUUAGCUGGUCGUGGUGGUGGGCACCUGUAAUUCCAGCUACUCAGGAGGCUGAGGCAGGAAAAUUGCUUGAACCCAGGAGGUGGAGGUUGCAGUGAGCUGAGAUCGCAUCAUUGCACUCCAGCUUGGGUGAUAGGAGUGAGACUCCAUCUCAAAAAAAAAAAAAAAAAAGAAGUUAGGAGGCAGCAUUAACAAUAAAAGAACUAUGACUGGACACAGUGGCUCAUGCCUGUAAUCCCAGCACUUUGGGAGGCCAAGGUGGGUGGAUCACUUGAGGUCAGGAGUUCGAGACCAGCCUGGCCAACAUGGUGAAACCCUGUCUCUACUAAAAAUACAAAAAUUAUCCGGGUGUGGUGGUGCGUUCCUGUAAUUCCAGCUACUUGGGAGGCUGAGGCACGAGAAUCACUGCCAGGAGGUGGAGGUUGCAGUAAGCCAAGAUCCAGCCAAUGCACUUCAGCCUGGGUGACAGAGCAAGACUCAGUCUCAAAAAAACAAAACAAAAAUAAGCAUUAUUAUCCUUAGAGAUAAUAAUUUCAGCUAAGAGAGAUUAAUUGACUAGCCCAAGGGCAUACAGCUAGUUGUGGUCUGGCUUGAAUUUCAGCACAGUUCUGCCUGCCUUCAAAUUUAGCACUUGUCCUAAAAUUCUAUAGUCAACUCUUAUUUUCAGAAGUAAUUUUACUCCUCAUAAUUUUCCCUAAUUCUUUGGUCCUCCAAGGCCUUUCAAGCCAGUUCCCAGCUCCUGAUAAUAGUAAAUACCUGAAAUAGCUAGCUUAUUAUUCUCCUGUGGGUGUUUUAAUUUUCAAAAUGUGGAAAAACCAAGGCAUGAAGCUUUGAAGGAGAAACUUCAUCCACUGGCUGUGGACAUGAGGAACUCAGAGUUCCUGGGAUCUCAACCCCAGUACCUACACUUAUGGGAAACCAUCACCCUCUCAGGAAGGCUUCCCUUGUCUAGAAACUUUUUUUUGAGGAAAUCCAAGAGUGUCUAAAUGGUAGAGGAUGCAGUAUGAACAGGCCUUUGGAACUCUAUCUGACUCGCAGGAUCCCACAAUUUUAGCACAGCCUCUUCCAAGCUGAACCUCUCACCAACUGCGUGAGGAACCGCGGGUUAGUUAUUUGGAAGGAAAGGUGGUAGAGAAGGACCAGGGGAAUUAAUAUUCAUUGAACAUAUGACAACGAUGGCAAAUAGAGUUUCUCUGCGUCAUGCAUUGAUAAGCACACAGAGUCAGCAUCCAUGUUCCAUUGGUAAUGUCUGCCCUCGGUGCGGGAGAGCAUCCAAGCUCACCUGGUAAUGUCUGCCCUGGGUGCAGGAGAGGACCUGGCAGGAUGGUUGCCAGCUCUCCAUCUUCUCUGGCUAUGAGCCAGGCACUUUACACCAUUAACCCCAAGUUCUCACAAUAACCUCUGAGGUGGGAGUUUCUUGUCUUAUUUUCUGGAGGAGGAAACUGAGGUUUAAAGAGCAUGUUACUUUCCCCUUAUAAAAGGUACUAGGUGGACAAGUCUUUAAUUUAAAAAAUAAAUAAAUAAGCAACAUAUCACCGCCACAAAAGCAGCAAUAUUGCUACAAUUUACUGAGGGCUUUCUACAUGCAAGACACUAUUUUUUUGUUUUUUUUGAGACGGAGUCUCACUCUGUUGCCAGGCUGGAGUGCAGUGGCAUGAUCUUGGCUCACUGCUUCCCAGAUUCAAGGGAUUCUCCUGCCUCAGCCUCCCGAGUAGCUGGGAUUACAGGCGUGUUCCACCAUGCCCAACUACUUUUUGUAUUUUUAGUAGAGAUGGGGUUUCACCAUGUUAGCUAGUAUGGUCUCGAUCUCUUGACCUCGUGAUCCACCUGCCUUGGCCUCCCAAAGUGCUAGGAUUACAGGCAUGAGCCACUGUGCCCAGACUUUAAAAAAAAUUUUUUAUUUCACUUUAAGUUCUGGGAUACAUGUGCAGAAUGUGCAGGUUUGUUACAGAGGUAAACACAUGGGUCAUGGUGGUUUGCUGCACCUAUCAACCCGUCACCUAGGCAUUAAGCCCUACACACAUAGCUAUUUUUCCUGAUGCUCUGCCUCCCCUCGCCCCACUGACAGGCCACAGUGUGUAUUGUUCCCUGCCCUGUGUCCAUGUGUUUUCAUUGUUCUGCUCCCACUUACGAGUGAGAACAUGUGGUGUUUGGUUUUCUGUUCCUGUGUUAGUUUGCUGAGGAUGAUGGCUUCCAGGUUCCUUCAUCUAUGUCCCUGCAAAGGACAUGAUCUCAUUCCUUUUUAUGGCUUCAUAGUAUUCCAUGGUGUAUACGUACCACAUUUUCUUUACCCAGUCUACCACUGAUGGGCAUUUAGGUUGAUUUCAUGUCUUUGCUAUUGUGAAUAGUGCUGCAAUAAACAUACGUGUGCAUAUAUCUUUAAAAUAGAAUGAUUUAUAUCCCUUUAGGUAUAUACCCAGUAAUGAGAUUGCUGGAUCAGGUGGAAUUUCUGGUUCUAGAUCCUUGAGGAAUCGCCACACUGUCUUCCACAAUAGUUGAGAACUAAUGUACAUUCCCGCCAACAGUGUAAAAGCAUUUCUAUUUCUCCACAGCCUUGCCAGCAUCUGUUUCUUGACUUUUUAAUAAUCACCAUUCUCACUGGUGUGAGACGGUGUCUCAUUGUGGUUUUGAUUUGCAUUUCUCUAAUGAUCGGUGAUGUUCGGCUUUUUUUCUUUUCUUUCUUUCUUUUUUUUUUUAAAUGGAGUCUUGCUCUUGUUACCCAGGCUGGAGUGCAAUGGGGAGAUUUCGGCUCACUGCAAACUCUGCCUCCUGGGUUCAAGUGAUUCUCCUGCCUCAGUCUCCCGAAUAGUUGGGAUUACAGGUGCCUGCCACCGUGCCCAGCUAAUUUUUUGUAGUUUUAGUAGAGACAGCAUUUCGCCAUGUUGACCAGGCUGGUCUCAAAUUCCUGACCUCAGGUGAUCCACCCGCCUCAGCCUCCCAAAAUGCUGGGAUUACAGGCAUGAGCCACCGUGCCUGGCCCCACUUUUUUUCAUGUUUCUUGGCCGCAUAAAUAAGACCCUGUAUUAAGCCUGUUGUAUGUAUUAUCUCCAUUCAUUUCCCAGAAGCUUGGUGAAGUAAUUUACCAUUUUACAGACCAUGCGGAAACAGAAGAGCCAAGUGUCGUGUUCAAUGUCACUGGUGCAUCAGAAGCAGAGCUGGGGUGAAAGCCAGAUGCAGCCGGCUCUAGGGCCUGGACUUCUGUUCCUUCCCACUGGUUUGUUUUCAUCCUGAGUCAUUGCUUGGUAGGGGAGGAUUCUGAGAAAGCAAUGAGGUAAACUAUGGCAAUACUGACUUACGCAUUUCUCAUAAAUCCCUCUGCGAGGAACAUGUCAUGGGGCUCCACACAUUGGGCUAUGAAGAGCGGGGUUGGCCUGUCCCUUUGUGGCAGCGGCCCCUCUUAGGCCUCUUCAGCACUCCGUCCCUGAGGGGACCCGCCCAUCCAGCCCUGGCCUUUCCUUCUCCUCUGGGUGAGUCAGAACUUUUUUUUAUUUUAUUUUAUUUUUUAUUUUUUAUUUUUUUUUUUGAGAUGGAGUCUUGCUCUGUCACCCAGGCUGGAAUGCAGUGGCACUAUCUCAGCUCACUGCAACCUCCACCUCCUGGGUUCAAGCAAUUCUCCUGCCUCAGCCUCCCAAAUAGCUGGGAUUACAGGCACGUGCCACCAUGCCCAGAUAAUUUUUUGUAUUUUUAGUAGAGAAGGGGUUUCACCAUGCUGGCCAGCCUGGUCUUGAACUCCUGACCUCAAGUGAUCUGCCCACCUCGGCCUCCCAAAGUGCUGGGAUUACAGGCGUGAGCCACUGCACCCACCCUGAGUCAGAAAUUUGUACAUAAGAAGGAAGUCUUGGGAGAAAUCCACAGUUGUUUUGUAUCCAGAACGUGAGGCAGCUUGGUGCUGUGAUGAGAGUGUUCCUUGCCACUGCUCCCGGUUGAGUGACCUUGAGUCAAUGUAGGUUUCUUUAUCUGAAAAGUGAGAGGGAUGGCCUAAGUGACUUCUAAGUGACUGAGCUGCUCUGAAUGUGUGUGAGAUGCCCGUGUCUGCGGACAGUCUCUGUAGUCUUUCUCAGACCUUGCUUCAUUCUCAUCCUCUUUCUCUCAGCUAAUCAGCUGUUCCAGUAUCUUACUAUAAAAUUUUUCUUUUUUUUUUUGAGAGAGAGAGAGUCUUGGUCUGUUGCUCAGGCUGGAGUGCAAUGGUGCGAUCUUGGCUCACGAUAACAUCCGCCUCCCAGGUCCAAGCGAUUUGCCUGUCUCAGCCUCCCAAGUAGCUGGGAUUACAGGCACCCGCCACCACGCCUGGCUAAUUUUUGUGUUUUUAGUAGAGACAGGAUUUUGCCAUGUUGGUCAGGCUGGUCUUGAACCCUUGACCUCAGGUGAUCUGCCCACAUUGGCCUCCAAAAAAGCUGGGAUUACAAGUGUGAGCCACCAUGACCAUCCUAAAAAUUUUCUUUUCUUUUCUUUUCUUUUCUUUUUUUUGAGAUGGAGUUUUGCUCUUGUCGCCCAGGCUGGAGUGCAAUGGCGUGGUCUCGGCUCACUGCAGCCUCUGCAUUUGGGUUCAAGCAAUUCUCCCACCUUAGCCUCCCAAGUAGCUGGGACUACAGGCAUGCACCACCACACCUAGCUAAUUUUGUAUUUUUAGUAGAGACGGGGUUUCUCCAUGUUGGUCAGGCUGGCCUCAAACUCCCGACCUCAGGUGAUCCGCCUGCCUCGGCCUCCCAAAGUGCUGGGAUUACAGGCAUGAGCCACCGAUUCUGGCCAAAAAUUUUCAAACAAGCAGCAAAGUUGAAUGAAUGUCCCAGGAAGCAGGCACAUGCCCCCACUCCCGUCCAGCUAGAUUCCAUCUGGCUUUCUCUCAGCUUGUUGCCCUGGUGGUCACUAAGGCAGAAAGGCCCCAAACAUAUUUCCCCUUGAGGACAUUGAGGGUGGAAUUCAGUCAGAACGCACCUUCUCCCUCCCACAACUCACAUCCCUCAUGCAUGCCCCAUGCCCUAAAUGCCUUUCUUUCUUUCUUUUUGUUUUUUAAACAGAGUCUCGCUCUGUCGCCCAGGCUGGAGUGUAGUGGCGCGAUCUCAGCUCACUGCAACCUCCACCUCCCGGGUUCAAGCGAUUCUCCUGCCUCAGCCUCCCGAAUAGCUGGGAUUUACAGACACGUGCCACCACACCCAGCUAAUUUUUUGUAUUUUUAGUAAAGACAGAGUUUCACCAUGUUGGCCAGGUUGGUUUUGAAUUCCUGACCUCAGGUGAUCCACUCGCCUUGGCCUCCCAAAGUGCUGUGAUUACAGGCGUGAGCCACCGCACCUGGCCGCCCUAACGUCUUUCUCUCUGUCUGUAGCCAUCUCUUCAGCCAUACACAUGCCCAUGCCCUGCUGUGGUGACCCUGGGCCAGACCCACGAUGCCCUGAUCACGAGAUGUCAGGGGGAAGGUGGCUUGUUGGGGUUGGGUGGUCCAGGUCAUUCAAGUAUCUCAAGAGGCCACUCUGUAGCAGGCACCAUUAUUUGUGUAACAUUUUUUCUCUCGGAGACACGCAAGUCAUACCUGGUUGUUGCAGAAACUUUGAAAAUUGUAGAAAAACCUAAUGAACAAUUGGAAAUCAUCCAUGAGCACUGCCAAGACAGCAGUAGCUAGGAUUUAUUGAGUACUUACUAUACAUUGGAUAUUGUGCUUGUUACAUGAUUUCCCCAGCAACCACACUCAGUAGGUAGGUAUUUAUCAUUAUAAUCUCCAAUUUGGGCCGGGCUCAGUGGCUUACACCUGUAAUCCCAACACUUUGGGAGGCCGAGGUGGGUGGAUCACCUGAGGUCAAGAGUUCGAGACCAGCCUGACCAACAUGGAGAAACUCCGUCUCUACUAAACAUACAAAAUUUGCCGGGCAUGGUGGCGCAUGCCUGUAAUCCCAGCUACUCGGGAGGCUGAGGUAGGAGAAUCGCUUGAACCCGGGAGGCAGAGGUUGCAGUGAACCAAGAUCGCACCAUUGCACUCCAACCUGGGCAACAAGAGCGAAACUCCAACUCAAAAAAAUAAAUAAAUAAAAUAAUCUCCAAUUUGCAGUUGAGGAAAUGAAGGCCCGGAGAAGUUAGGUGAUUUCUCAUGUCCACACAGCUGGGAAGGGGUGGAGCCAGGCUUCACACCCACCUGGUUCUAGUGGAUGCCUUUAGUCACCAUUCACCACUUCCCUGAUGCCUGUCACACAUGUUUUAGAUAUUUUCUGUGCAGUAACUUUUUUUUUAAGAUGGAGUUUCGCUCUUGUUGCCCCCAGGCUGGAGUGCAGUGGUGCAAUCUCGGCUCACUGCAACCUCCGCUCACUUCAAGUGAUUUUCCUGCCUCAGCCUCCCAAGUAGCUGAGAUUACAAGCAUGAGCCAGCUCGCUUGGCUAAUUUUUGUAUUUUUAGUAGAGAUGGGGUUUCACCAUGUUGGUGAGGCUGGUCUCGAACUCCUGACCUCAAGUGAUCCUCCUGCCUUGGCCUCCCAAAGUGCUGGGAUUACAGGCAUGAGCCACCACACCCCGCCUGCAAUUAUGUUAUUUUAUAACAACUUACUUCUUUCACUUACCCAUUUCUGGGACCAGGUGGGGUGGUUCAUGCCUACAAUCCCAGCACUUCGGGAGGCCAAGGCGGGUGGAUCGAUGGAGCCCAGGAGUUCAAGACCAGUCUGGGCAACAUGAUGAGACCUUAUCUCAAUCAAUCAAUCAAUCAAUAGCAGGGCAUGGUGGUGUGUACCUGUAGUCUACCCAGGAGGCUGAGGUGGGAGGAUGGCUUGAGCCUGGGGAGGUGGAGGCAAUAUUUAACCAUUUCUAUUUGCAUGUUAAUCUCCCCAAAUAACCCUAUGAAAUAGUUAUUAUUAUUUACAUUUACAGGUGAGAAAACUGAAGGCUACAGAAUUAAAAGACACGAAAACAAAGCUCAAAGAGUGAAAUGACUUGCCCAAGGGCAUGGGAAGCAGUGAGGGUGGGUUCAAAGGUCAGAAAGAGCGGACACCCCACCCCCUCCACCCCUGCCUUUCAUACUCGAGGUGGAGGCAAUCGUGUACAUAGGGUAGAGGAAGGCAAUGACAAAUACUUUUCUUCAGCCUUCCCUAAAUUAGAUCCCAUGUAGCUGGCAACUGAGGCCUGGCCUGCUUGCUUUCUCCUCCUCUCUGGAAGCCAGGGCUACUUUGUAUAGGGUCCGCAUGAAGCUGUUGCCUUCCAGAGGGGACACCUGCCUAUCUUGAGAUGGGGAGAGGUCACUUCCCAGCAGAGACCCUGUGCUCAGCCCAUGGAGGAUAAGAAGGUGCAGGGAAGGAAUUCCAGAGCUCUCUAGGCCUGGGGAAGCGCACAGCUGGACGCCCCUACUUGCCCGUGACCUUGUACAAAUCCUUCCUUUCUCUGAGUUUCAGUUUUCUUUUUUUUCUUUUCUUUUCUUUUUUUUUUUGAGAUGGAGUCUCGCUCUGUCGCCAGGCUGGAGUGCAGUGGCGAUCUUGGCUCACUGCAACCUCCGACUCCCAGGUUCAAGCGAUUCUCAUGUCUCAGCCUCCUGAGUAGCUGGGAUUACAGGCGCGUGCCACCACAUCCGGCUAAUUUUUGUAUUUUUAGUAGAGACGAGGUUUCACUGUGUUGGCCAGGAUGGUUUCGAUCUCUUGACCUUGUGAUC
rnacentral:lncRNA from 1 species